ensembl:lncRNA
GCCGCGCAGGGACCCCGGUGGGAGCCGGCGCUCGAGAGAAGGCCCGCGGCCCCGAGGACCGCCCCGCCCACACCCCAGAGCCUCGCGGCCGUCGGCCUGCCCGGCUGACGCCUGUCUCAGGACCCCAACCUGCCCGGUCCCCGCUCAGGCUCGGGGCAGCCGCAGUGCAGGUCAAGGAGGGCAGCUCGGGUCUGAGGUUGUCCUGGCGCGGCUCUCAUCCUGGGUGGACACGUCGCAGGCCUCGAGGGGUGCUGUGAUGGGACUGACGGCCACGUCGGCAGCUCCUGGGGACCCCCAGCGGCUGGGAACGGCGCCGGCGCCUCCAGGGGCUCCCUCUGUUGGGCCCGUCCACUCCUCCUUUGGGAUCAUUACUUAGGACCCUCCGCCCAGCAGCCCACCAAGGGCAGAGGGACUCCGUCCUGGCCCUGCCUCUCACAGAAGAUCAGCACGUGAGGACAAAGCAUAGGAAAAAGGAGUUUGGGGUGUUUUACUCCAGAAUCGCCACAAGAGGGCGCCAAAGAGCAAGCCUCCCUUGCCCAGAGCCAGGCCUCCACCCACUCUGAGUGCCUGAAGCCGCGCGGUGCCAUUGCCUCCAUUCAAGCAAGCUUUGGAGGGUACGUGUAGGGGAGGGGGCCGGGAGGAGGAGAACUGCAGCCUCGCCGAGGCCAGGGAGCCUCAGGGAUGGUGGCCCGUGCUGCAGCCGCCUUGCCCAGAUCGGGCCUCUGCUGAUCCUGCCCUGACGCCGUCUCCCCGGCCCUCCUCUUUGGAAACUGGUGCAAAGAGCUACGGCCACCCCGUGGCCAGAGGGUGGACACACCGAGAUUCGGACACAAUAUACAUUUUACAUUGAUCAUUCUCUGUCUGACCUGGUCCA